rnacentral:rRNA from 1 species
AGUGAACGCUGGCGGUAGGCCUAACACAUGCAAGUCGAACGGCAGCACAGGAGAGCUUGCUCUCUGGGUGGCGAGUGGCGGACGGGUGAGGAAUACAUCGGAAUCUACUCUGUCGUGGGGGAUAACGUAGGGAAACUUACGCUAAUACCGCAUACGACCUACGGGUGAAAGCAGGGGACCUUCGGGCCUUGCGCGAUUGAAUGAGCCGAUGUCGGAUUAGCUAGUUGGCGGGGUUAAGGCCCACCAAGGCGACGAUCCGUAGCUGGUCUGAGAGGAUGAUCAGCCAAACUGGAACUGAGACACGGUCCAGACUCCUACGGGAGGCAGCAGUGGGGAAUAUUGGACAAUGGGCGCAAGCCUGAUCCAGCCAUACCGCGUGGGUGAAGAAGGCCUUCGGGUUGUAAAGCCCUUUUGUUGGGAAAGAAAUCCAGCUGGCUAAUACCCGGUUGGGAUGACGGUACCCAAAGAAUAAGCACCGGCUAACUUCGUGCCAGCCGCCGCCGUAA